GUCUGAGUGGCUCAGUUGGUAAAGCAUCUGACUUCAGCUCAGGUCAUGAUCUCAUGAUUCGUAGGUUCAAGCCCUGUGUCGGGCU
rnacentral:tRNA from 1 species